CCUCGUCCCACGUGAUCCCGGCCGUUGGCACACCGAGAGACGGGGAGAGGGGUGACGCCGGGCCCGGCCCGGUCCGCCCUGUGGGAUGCGUGGGCCGGGGCUGAUGGUGCGUUGUCCCGCUGCGGAGCGGGUCCAGCCGAGUCCUUGCGUCUGCAGAUGCCAAAUGCCCCAAGAACCAAAACAGAGCUUAAAGAUGGCGUACAAACAGUGCUGUAUGUUUUCAGCGCCGUCCCACAGAAGCCCCUUGGUGAUUCCAGGUCAGCAGCAAGGAACUUUGACAUAGGACUGGAAGGAAGAUCAUCAACAUGAUGUGUUCAUCUGAAAAGACCUUGCCUCCUGGAGUCGUGUCUCCUCUCUGUGUUACAUGAGUGCAGCUUCUCCUCAAGUCCUUCUUCUGUGUCUCUGCUGGCUGUGUGGUAGAGCCCAGUGAUUGCCUUGGCCAGGCUGCCUGCCUGACUGCCGGAGCUCCGCUGCCUGUAAGUCUUUUGUGGGUUUCUUGUGCUUCUAGAAAUGGUAGUAACAAAAGUUGUAAUUGUUGCUUCUGUUUUCAAAGCUUGGGCAUCUCAGAUGUCUGGGCCUGUCAGGAAAUACUGCUAUAAGUGCAUGAAGGGGAGGAUAAAUAUGCACUGGUCAAAAACAAGUGUUUUACUGUAAUCUUCCUAGAACUGUACUGGACCUCUCUUUGCUGAGUGUAACUGAUUACCAGCCCAAUCCCCUCAAGUACUGUGGUCCUAUGAGGAGCACCAACAGCUUUGUAACUUGUUUGUUGUGGUAACUGUCAACCAGAACUGAUGCCCUCAAGUCACAGUGCCUCAUAGUUUCCGUCUCACUUAGCCUUGGCUAAUGAGAUGUGUCUUCUCUGAUACACUAGCAUGAUCUGCAGGGAUAUUUUGAGUUGGUUAUAUGAUAAUAAUCCAAAAAAAUGUCCCCAGAAGUGCUGCUCCUUCCCCAGCUGCAAAGUGCAAAUGUAGGCGUCCCUAAUAUUUGAGCAUACUUGGAUCAGCAAUUGAGUCUCAAGUUAAGCUUCCUGGUACACAAUGUCCCUCACCCUGGCUGCCCUACAGAGGAUGUGCUAAGCUUUGAGAGUUCACUUCUGUGUUCCUGGCCUUAUUGAUGGGCUUAGCUUUGCAUGAUGGUCAGAACUGGAAACUCUUGGGGAUACUGGGGAUGAACCAGUUGCAAAUCUCACCUUGUGGUGUCUCUCUGCAACACAGCAGGUAGAGCAAUUGAUUAUAUAUGCACUUACUAAUGAGGUAGCUUGCGUACUUAGUCUAAAAUUAUCAUUUAUGUCCUAGAGAAAAGAUUAAAACAAAAAAAAACUGACUCAGAGUGAGGAGAAGCAGGCUGAGGCUUCAUGGGCAUAAUUUUCGUUUUGGAGUAGGUGGGAUGCUCUGAAUUGGUGAAGGAGAGGAAACAGAGAUGUUAUUUUCUUCCUUUGCUUCCAUAAAUCACGCAUUUCAGUGAACCUGGCCUGAUGGCUUCAAUAAGCCCCUCCAGUAAGACUCUACACUUAUUAAGUGCAGAGAACACACAUCGUGAAAGGCAGGUUGUCCGGAGACAAAACACAAUCUCUCAAGGUUGGCAACACUUAGAAACAAAACUUACUGUGAGCACAAGUAAAUGAAAUUUGUGAUUGGAUUCAUAGUUGGGCUUUCCUUCAGCUAGGGUGUGCCUGAAUCUGCGGGCUCAUGGUGUAGAAAACAGUCAAGUACCAUGGUGGUACUGGGACUUUGCAGUGCCCAGGCAAAGAAGAAUGGAACUGAUCAGUAAGGACUCUGCGUUGUCCAGCAUCCUGUCCCCAGAAGAAAUGUGCUCUGUAUUACUGCAUACAGGGUUAAUGAACAAUAACAGAGUAAAUAACCAUCAGUGUAUUAGAAAUUUUCACUUUCCUCUUGCCUAUUUUGGCUGUUGUCUAUUACUUUUGUGUUGCUAACAUGCUUUUCUUUCUAGAAGAGCUUAUUAGAUCCAAAAAUUCUCAGUUAUUCAUGUCUUUCUUCUACUGCUAGAUAUUUCUGCCCAUGUUAGGAAAUUCUGCAAGCUAUUACAUCCUCUUUUCCUCCUGCUAAUUGUCUUUGCUGCCUGCCUGGCAAGGCUGUGCUUGCAGUAGCGUGUCAGCGUAUUGCAGGACGACUCUGCUUCCGGCCUCUCAGCUCAGUUCCUGUCCACUUUAUUGAUUUUCUUUAAUACCCAGAGUACACUUCAGCAAAGGAUUACAAAAUGCUUUAAGGACAUUAAUUAUGCUUGCCACAGAAAUACCAGCUGUGCAGAGCAUCUUUCUAGAUGGCUUUGAAUGACUCUAAAACUGGUUCUGCUCAGUGCUGGCUAAACAGAGUGCCACCAACACAAAGGGGCUACUUUUGCUCCAUUAAAUUUUCCUCUUUAUGAGCUCUUUUUAAGUAGGCCAAAUAUUUCACAGCUUGGUAACAACAGCAAAACACCCUUCAGUCUAAAAAACCACUUCCACGCAUCUUAAUAGCAUUCCAGAGCUGCAGUUUAUUUCCUCUGUUCCUGACAAAUGGCUCUGGCCAAUUUUCUAGCUGUAGGUUGUUCCGACGUUGUAGAGUAAUUAUUUUCAUUAUCAAGUAGAGCAAUUAAGCGCAUCCUCUCAAAUCACAGCUGUCUGCAUCCAUCUGUUUAAUGUUUGCAGAUACAGAAAUGUUAGUAACUGCAUACUUCUUGGUUUGGGGUCUCCCAUGGGGAGGGCUGCUGCUUCCUUAGGACAGGCAUUCCAGCAGGGUGCAGAACAGAGCUAAGCUGAUUAGAGUGACUGCAUUUAGGAGUGUGUAUUUGUAAAUCAGGAGGCUCCCUGGCAGAAAACUUCAUGUCUGGCAGCUACUCAUCUCUGCAUUCAGGUUGAGGUGGAAUGUUCUAGGGUCUUCAUCAGUUUUUCCUUCAGCUAGAUAGUGUAUGAGAAGCUGUGUCUUCAUACGUGCAUUUGGGGGGAAAAAAAAAAAGAUAAAUAUUGUCCCAAAUUGGAGCAAUUCUAUGAAAAAUAUUGCACCAAAUGAAUGAGUCAUUAAGUAGCAUGGUGACACGUAUGCAAUUUCCUUGCCAGCAGGAUUUUAGUUCCUGAGGAAGUUCCGUUCCGUUGGCUUUGUUCUGUAGUCGUCUUUGUGAAGUGGAAAGUUGAUUUAUGACGUUUGGGAAUAGUGUUUGGGGAAAAUCUUCCUGGAAAGUAGGCCUGAGUGUCUGGGCUGAGUAUUCAGAAGAGAAGAUGGCUUGCUUGCUACAGGGCACUGUCUCUCUUCUUUUGUACAUGUGCAAAUAGUAUGUUGCACUGCAGAUGGGCUGAAACACAACACUACCUUCGUUCACUUUGAGUCUGAAGUACGUGUGUUGUCACUUAACUGUGCUGUAGCAAUGGAAUGGGGAUAUUUAUAGGGUUGAUUGGGCUUUUUUUUUUUCAUUAUUUUUCAGUUUAAGGCCUGCUGGGCUGUGCUCAGUAUGAGUUCUUUCUGCUUUGUCAGAGACUUUUUGUCUUUCACCCAAGAAAACGAGGACAUGAUCAGAAAAUAAAUCUGCCAGUAAUACCAUACUGUUGAAGCAGAAAAGCGCUUGUAUUUCCGAAGCAUCCUAGUCUCUUAAAAUGCCAACAGCAUGUCCAAGAAUGAAAGGAUUGAUUUCCUUGUAGUUUCUGUAUGUAGUACCUAAGCUGGUGGAAGCCAAGUAGGCCAUCUGUCACGUUCCACACAAACGUAAAAGGAUGUUUGAUCAGGUGAGAUUGGAUGGAACCAUCAAAAAGAUGCUUUCUUUGCAUAGCAGACUUGCCAGCUUCUGUAAUAGGCCUUGUGUUCUGGUGAGCUUUUGCCACAUCCCAUAUGCGCUAAAUUCAUGAAAAACAAUUCUCAUCAGUCCUAUUUUCCAUUCUCAUCUGUACUCCCUGAAGUUUUUCACCACUCCAUCAUAGUACCAGUGCUGGUGCUGCUGCAGGAAUCCACUCUUUCUAAGCCAGCCAGCAUAGGGAUCAGGAGAGCAUGGAAACGGUUCCCUCAUUUGCUGGAGUAAGAUGGACAACAGUCCUGCUCAGAUUCAAGGCUCCCUCCUGCUCUGUCUGCUGCCCACCCUCACAAGGAUGAAAUUGGCCUUCUAGGAAGUGCUGGCUGCUUCCUUAGGGAUUCACACGUGGUUAGAGGGCAGUUACUUCCCAUCCCUAAGCAAAUGCUUUUUUGCACUUCCACAGCCUUUUGCCUGUCUGUCACCACAGAGAACCCAGCAUAGCUGCCACUGAUGUAGCUUGGUUAAUUUUUAAUGAGCUAUUGGCCACGAAUCUGCCACGCAUUGUAUACAUCAUGUAAUAGUUGUUGUGACAAAGAGGUUGAACAGUACUCUGGAAGAGUAUGGAAGUAAAAACCCCAUUCAACUUGCAUGUUACUACAGCCUGCACAACUUCGGCUCUGUGCUGCAGUCAGAACUCCCUUUCCUCCAUUUGACACAGUGCACAGGAACACUUUAUGUCACUGUAUGCUUUUGACCUGGUCUAAUUAAAGGGCUGUUUGUGCCGUGGUUCCCCACACUGAAUUUUUACAGAUCAGUGUUCUGUGGGCCUGGAAAGGAAAGCUGUACAAGAGAGCAGCUACAACUGGUGCAUGCAGGUAGUGCUGACAACUCAGUCACCAGAUGCAAUAUAUUUUUAUACAAGCUUUUAAUAAAAAAAAUUCAACAAAAAUAUAUAUAAUCAGGCAUUUUAUGCAAUGCAUACAUUCUUUAUAUCUGCAGGUACAGAUAAA